rnacentral:misc_RNA from 1 species
AACGGUCUAUACCUGCGGUACCUGCGGAGGGAUCAUUAUAGAGUGGUAAACCCCCCGUAAAAGGGGGGGACCUCCUGUCCUUUGUAGGCUCUUUUUUAAAAGGGCUUUUUUUAAUUUUCUGCUUCGGUGGGGUUAUCCCACCGGAACAACCUCAAAACUCUUAUCAAAAAAUCGUUCUGUCUGAGAACCUUUUAUAAUAAAAAAAAACUUUUAGCAACGGAUCUCUAGAUCGGAAGAGCA